rnacentral:rRNA from 1 species
GACGAAGGGGGCUAGCGUUGUUCGGAAUUACUGGGCGUAAAGCGCACGUAGGCGGCCUUUCAAGUCGGAUGUGGAAGCCCCGAGCUUAACUCGGGAACUGCAUUUGAUACUGUUGGGCUAGAGACCGGGAGAGGAUAGCGGAAUUCCCAGUGUAGAGGUGAAAUUCGUAGAUAUUGGGAAGAACACCAGUGGCGAAGGCGGCUAUCUGGACCGGUACUGACGCUGAGGUGCGAAAGCGUGGGGAGCAAACAGG